ensembl:snRNA U6 U6 spliceosomal RNA
GUGCUUGCUUCAGUAUCACAUAUGCUAAAAUACUGUGUAAAAGAGAUUAGUAAGGCCCCUGCACAAGGAUGAAACACAAAGUCGUAAAGCAUCCCAUAUUUUC